UGCCCAGGGUUUCUGUCUCUCCAUAAGAGCUCCCAAGACUUUCUCUUUAAAAUGCAACACCGCCCCGCCCCUCCCCUUACACUAGCCAGGCUAGUAACGGGAGAAAUACCAAAGCAACCCUUCGGGUUUACCCUUUUCUCUCGGCUUCCUCUACCUAAACGUCCCGCCCUAAGUUCCUCCUCUCAUCCCUGCUAUCUUCCCCUGUUUUUCCACGCCUGUACCAUCGAAACUCUUAGAGGAGUCGUCCAGGCAAGUGGAUCUCAAACGGGGCAGAGCGAGAGAAUCACCUGUGCCUCCACUGGCCCUCAGUUUCGGAGCAGGAAGACGUGGAGUCCGGCCUGGAUCCGCGUCUGACCGAGCCGGGCUCCGCCGCCCAGCCUGGGACCUUGGAGCAGUUACUUGGUCUCGCCACCCUGUCCAUUCCUCCGCUGUGAGAAGGAGAUAACAUGCGCCUCACCGGGUUGUUUUGAGGACCGAGAGAGAACAUUUGUAGGAAAGCAUUUUGUAAGUGACAGACUGCUAAACACAAUGGAUUAACUUCAGCUCGCGGAUUGCGGCUAAAUGACUGAUGUCUGGACUCCCCCUUUCCCCCAGCCGUCUUCCAGUUUCUUCUGCACUUGGAAUUGCCCUCUCGCCAGGUUAUUGCACACGACGUGCUCGAUUCUGCAUCUCCGGCCACAGGUUUCCCCGGUAGUCAACCCAACGCUCCUGAACCUGGCUCCCACCUUCGUUUCCUUCUCCAGGUGGGCUCUGCUUUGAUGACAGGCUCAUUCUUGGAGGAAUACAAUGGAGACCUAUGGAAGAGAAUUAAGCAGGAGGAAUGGGUGCCAAUGGCAGAUGUAUCAAGACGGGGGGGACUGUUGCCUCUUUGUUAAGAGAAUGAAGACACUCAUCAUAUCAGCUAAGUUCAAACGAGGAGACAAAGGCUUAGACAGUGAAGUGACACAGAAGCAGAACCAGGACCAAAACCAAGGUCUUCUGAAUCCAAGUUCUGGGGUUUUCUGCUCUGCCAUUCACUGAACUGAAUACACAGCCAACUGUGUGUGCACCCAUGUCAGGAAAACAAAGACAAUACCUAUAUUUUCAGGUGGAAUACAUUUCAGGCCCAUGCCACCGAGUGCUCUGAAGCAUCAAAGAACUACCAGCCAGGCUCUGGUCAAGGAAGACCAGCUCCCCUGUAGUUCAGCUGCUGAUAAAAUCUGGGGUCCCAGGGAGGAAUAUGACCUAGGGAUUCCAUGGUCCUGCCAGGUUGCCCUCUCAGUCAUCAACUAAAAGGCCCUGAAUAUGGCCUGGGGAACCUCUGCAGGCUGGGUCCUCACCCCACAUUGCCAACUGUAGCCAUAAACCCAGGCCAGUGACAGGGCUUGGGAGUCCAAAGGAUUACUAUCUUAGUUUUAGACCCAUAAAUCACCUUGAAAUUGGAAACAGCCCUGGAAAUUCUGGAUUGGUUGAUAGAUGUUUUUCCCAAGAUGGCAACACACCCAGCCUUAGACAUUUACAGUUGCCUCAGGCCUAUAUAACAGCUUUCUACUUAGAAACUUUAAAAUGUACACUAGCCACU